rnacentral:lncRNA from 1 species
UGGAUGUUAUAAUGAAAGAGUUAGAAUUUUUUAUAUUUGAGCUGUUUCCAUGGUAACGGCAGCCAUUUUGGAAAUUCUAAAGUCAAACUGCAAAUCAUCUCAUGCCAGUUACCAUUCCUGUGGAGUUUCGUCCAGUUUGGAACACUUUGAAUAUUUUCGGAUUUUUGCAGUUUCCAUGGAAACGGCAGCCAUCUUGACCAUUCCAAAGUCAGGUGCACAACUUCAUAUGCUGGUCCACAUUAUGGUAUAGUUCCAUCAACAUUGGUCAAUACAAUUCCGAGAAACUGUGUGGACAAAAAGUGUUGAAGAAGAAUAAUAAAAACUAGAUUUGUAAUUGCUAGCAAUAACGGAUGGCACCCUUCCCCGAUUGCCA